rnacentral:rRNA from 1 species
CCUACGGGUGGCAGCAGUAGGGAAUAUUGGGCAAUGCCCGCAAGGGUGACCCAGCCAUGCCGCGUGCAGGAAGAAGGCUUUCUGAGUUGUAAACUGCUUUUGGAAGGGAACAAAAAGGCUGUGCGCAGCAAAUUGAGUGUACCUUCAGAAUAAGCACCGGCUAACUCCGUGCCAGCAGCCGCGGUAAUACGGAGGGUGCAAGCGUUGUCCGGAUUUAUUGGGUUUAAAGGGUGCGUAGGCGGCUUAUUAAGUCAGGGGUGAAAGACUGCAGCUCA